rnacentral:lncRNA from 1 species
AUGUAUUCAUGCAACAAAUGUAUAUGGAUUACACAUUGUGUCAGAGGCCCCGGGGUGAAGCCGAAACAAUGGGCAGGCAGCCACACUGCCUUGCAGACAGAGACACACAGGGGAGGGGCUGAGCCCAGCGCGGGGAGGGGGGAGGUUGGGAGAGACUUCUGGGGUCUUUUCUACGCUGAGAUUAGAGUUGAUGGAUUGAGGGCACGAGGACAGAAGGAAUGGAUGAUCUUCCAAGCAGAGCGAGUAAUACUUUGCAGAGAUCCUCAGCUAACCGAAAGCCGUGCACAGAAGGAGAUAAACGCAAUGGACGUGCCUGUGAGGUGGGCAUUGUCAACAGAGAAGCCAGGGAGUAAACCCAGAUCAGAUAACGAAGGUCUUUACAGAACACUGGGAGUGACUUCGGGAUCUGCACACCAGCAGGUUGCACUGUGGGGAUUGAGGGCACCCCUUUGUUCUUGCCUGGACUCUGCUUCUAUCUGGGAGGCCAAUUAGCACAAGUGCUGAGUCACAGGAGAAACCAGGCAAGCCGGUGAGAUCUACACGCGCCUAAGAAUUUCUGCAGAGGGAAGUCUGAAGAAAUGAGCGAAGAGGAUGCUUCGAUGCUUCUGAGUCACAGGACAAGCAGCGUGUGAAGCAGAGACAAGAUAAUGUUCCUCUGGCCAGGCUGGUGGCAUCCAGGGAGGUGACCGAGAGAGAGUGGGAAGGGGAGGUUAAGACCCAGCGGAAGACAAGGGAGACUCCCGGGGUCCUCCCAGCCUGGGAUGGGCUGCCCGCCUCUCUCAAGCAUCCGCUGGCUGCAGGUGGAAACAGGCCACGCUGUUCUGCUUGAAAUUACAUUUCCGUGAGUGAUUUCAGCUGGAAAUAACCAAUAUCCCAAGUUGUCCUGUUUUGCUUAACUCUUUCACCUGCAUUAUUUUUAGUUCUUUGAAAGAAAGAGAGCAAACACACACAGAGAGAGAGAGAGAGAGAGAGAGAGCGCGCUCCCAUCUGCUGGUUUCCUCCCCAGAUGCCCGCAACAGGUGUGACUGGGCGACGGCUGACACCAGCAACCAGGGAUUUAACCCAGGUCUCCCUGGCUGCUGGGAGCUCGGUCACCUGUUGCCUGCCAGGGUUGACGUCAGCAAGAAACCGAAGUCGCGAGCCAGAGCCAGGAGUCAAACCCCAGUGCUGUCGUUGGAGCAGCAGUCACCGUGACGGGAAUCUUCUAGGCUCGACCCCCAGCUCACCUGUGUUACUAAACUGAUGGAGUGAGAAAUGAAGGAGACCUUGAAGUACAGUCGGCACGUUGGCCGUGCGCAUUUCAAUAACAAACGGAGGCCAACAAAUUCUCUGAGAGUGUGUUGAAAAUGCCACUGGGGAACGGUUUAGGAAUUUUCGAUUAAGAAGACUUGAGGUCUUAUGGCCACAGGGUAUUUGCUCUGGAUCUCCUUGUAUUUGGUGGUUGAUGUAACUUAUCAAUAUUUUUUGAGUAUCAGAAGUACGUGUAAUCUUA